rnacentral:lncRNA from 1 species
CUCGUCCACGCGGGGGUGGGCCUCCCGGGGACCGGCUCCUCCGGGCUCCGGCGACUCCUCCGGAGCGGGUGCUGGAGCCCGCGGGCCGCAGGUCGGGCCGGGACCCGGGCCUGCAUGGCGGCGGCCGCGUCUGCUCCCCCGGCGCCCUGCGGCGCCCCCGCCCGGCAGCGUCGGCCCUGGCCGCCUGGUCUGGACCCGAGAUCGAAGCUUCCUGCCACAUCUGGUUCCCAGCCAAGGAUUCGGACUCGUUUGUCCUCUGCACGCGGUUUUCGCAGCCUUGAGCUUCACAGCCUGUGCCCCUGGUGUGGUGCCUGGUGUCUCCUGGGCCCUGCUGCAGUUCUGAAGGCACCGAAUGCGCUGUUGAUGACUUUACAGGUGCUGGAGAGAGUAUUCUUGGAUAGCUUCUGCACUGCUGGGAAUGAAGAUUUCUGGCCAAUGUGGUAUGAUUCCAAGGAGCUCUGGCUUCCAGAGAAAGGAUUUCUGUGAAGUGCACCAGGACACUGUUUUGAGAGUGUCUAUUAACAUCUCCAGUAAAUCAUCUGAGAUCAAGUGUUUAGAAACAGCAGAGACCAAAGGCAGGUGAGAGUCCCAGAAACUUUCUCCAUGUCUAUACCAUUUGCAAAACAUUUUGGAAUUCAAAAUCUUGAAGCUUGUGUAUCAGCUUUCCCUAGAGAAAGAAGGCACACCUUUAAUGUGUGCUUGCUCCGAAUUGUUAUUUCUUUGAUGUCUGUGCUUCUUCAUACUUCCAUAA